GCUGAUGGGAAAUUUCUAAAGAGAAAAGAGCAGAAUUAAUGACAUGGAAUGUUGGGAGGUUUUAUACUGAUAAAAGAUUUUCUUCCCAUAGAGGGCAUGCUGUAUUCUGUUUAGUUUAGUUUCUGUCCUUAUUCAGCAAACUUUGUAGAGUACUUUUAGAAGUGUUAAGUUUGAAAAUUAGCAACUGGAGACAUAAGCAGUGGUUCUUGGCCUGCAGUGGGAAUUCAUGGUCUAGAGAAGAUCAUUAUACUAAAAUGUCGAUUAGUUUUCUAAGGAAACACUUAGAUUAAUGAGGAAAGAACUCUUCAGUGUGUAUGUGAGAAGAGUAGCGAUAAUUGAGAAAGAUGUCCUAGAAGGUCCGUAGAACAGGUCCUGAGUGUAGGUACUUGGGGCUGUUCUAAGGAAGGGUGUGGGGAAGUUGUUCUGCACUGAAGCCUCCUUUCUCUUGAAAAGCCCUGGGUUAGUAGUUUCUAACUUUAAAGGUCUAGAAUGCUAAUACCAAUCUGAAAUUAAAAAAAAAUAAGUUGCUUUAGUUUUUGCUCGAGAUUUUAUUAAACAAUCAGAUAUCACUGGUGUUCAUUUCUUAGCCCCCUGCUUGUGAGGAGGUCUGUUUGUUUGAACUAUUAGGUCUGCUGGAAGUAAACAUGUUUUCCCACCCAUAUCAUUGGAGGGUGGACUACUUAUUUAUUUUUAGUUUUUCGAAACAGGGUUUCUCUGUGUAGACUUGGCUGUCCUGGAACUCACUUUGUAGACCAGGCUGGCCUCGAACUUAGAAAUCCACCUGCCUCUGCCUCCCGAGUGCUGGGAUUAAAGGCGUGCACCACCGCUGCCCAGCUCAGAGGGCAGACUUUAAGCUCAUUGUUCAUCUUCAAGCUUAUUU
rnacentral:lncRNA from 1 species